rnacentral:rRNA from 1 species
CCUACGGGAGGCAGCAGUGAGGAAUAUUGGUCAAUGGACGAGAGUCUGAACCAGCCAAGUAGCGUGAAGGAUGACUGCCCUAUGGGUUGUAAACUUCUUUUAUAUGGGAAUAAAAUGUUCCACGUGUGGGAUUUUGUAUGUACCAUAUGAAUAAGGAUCGGCUAACUCCGUGCCAGCAGCCGCGGUAAUACGGAGGAUCCGAGCGUUAUCCGGAUUGAUUGGGUUUAACGGGAGCGUAGGUGGAUUGUUAAGUCAGUUGUGAAAGUUUGCGGCUCAACCGUAAAAUUGCAGUUGAAACUGGCAGUCUUGAGUACAGUAGAGGUGGGCGGAAUUCGUGGUGUAGCGGUGAAAUGCUUAGAUAUCACGAAGAACUCCGAUUGCGAAGGCAGCUCACUGGACUGCAACUGACACUGAGGCUCGAAAGUGUGGGUAUCAAACAGGAUUAGAUACCCGGGUAGUC